UACGAAGGGGGCUAGCGUUGUUCGGAAUUACUGGGCGUAAAGCGCACGUAGGCGGUUUUUUAAGUCAGAUGUGAAAGCCCCGGGCUCAACCUGGGAAUUGCAUUUGAAACUGGGAAACUAGAGUGUGUGAGAGGGGGGUAGAAUUCCAAGUGUAGCGGUGAAAUGCGUAGAUAUAGGAAGGAACACCAGUGGCGAAGGCGACCACCUGGACUGAUACUGACACUGAGGUGCGAAAGCGUGGGGAGCAAACAGG
rnacentral:rRNA from 1 species